rnacentral:rRNA from 1 species
GAAGCGGCAACAGCUCAAAUUUGAAACCUGGCGUAAGCCCGGAUUGUAAUUUGUAGAGGAUGCUUCUGGGCAGCGGCCGUUCUAAGUUCCUUGGAACAGGACGUCAUAGAGGGUGAGAAUCCCGUAUGUGACCGGCGCGCACCCUCCACGUAGCUCCUUCGACGAGUCGAGUUGUUUGGGAAUGCAGCUCUAAAUGGGAGGUAAAUUUCUUCUAAAGCUAAAUACUGGCCAGAGACCGAUAGCGCACAAGUAGAGUGAUCGAAAGAUGAAAAGCACUUUGGAAAGAGAGUUAAAAAGCACGUGAAAUUGUUGAAAGGGAAGCGCUCACAACCAGACUCCGUGGCGGUGUUCCGCCGGUCUUCUGACCGGUCCACUCGCCGCCGUGGGGCCAACAUCGUCUGGGGCCGCCGGAUAAGACCGGAGGAAUGUAGCUCAUUGAGUGUUAUAGCCUCCGGGGAUGCGGCGCGCCCCGGGCGAGGUCCGCGCUUCGGCAAGGAUGUUGGCGUAAUGGUUGUCAGCGGCCCGUCUUGAAACACGGACCAAGGAGUCUAACAUCUAUGCGAGUGUUCGGGUGUCAAACCCCUACGCGUAAUGAAAGUGAACGGAGGUGGGAACUACGGUGCACCAUCGACCGAUCCUGAUGUCCUCGGAUGGAUUUGAGUAAGAGCAUAGCUGUUGGGACCCGAAAGAUGGUGAACUAUGCCUGAAUAGGGUGAAGCCAGAGGAAACUCUGGUGGA